AACGAACGCUGGCGGCGUGGUUAAGACAUGCAAGUCGAACGGAGUGGUUGCAUAGCAAUAUGACGCCAUUCAGUGGCAAACGGGUGCGUAACACGUAGAUACCUACCAGAAAGUGGGGGAUAACCCAGGGAAACUUGGAUUAAUACCGCAUAACAGUUAAAAGGCGGGGACCGAAAGGCCCGCCGCUUACUGAGGGGUCUGCGGCCUAUCAGCUUGUUGGUGAGGUAAUGGCUCACCAAGGCGACGACGGGUAGCUGGUCUGAGAGGACGAUCAGCCAAACUGGAACUGAGAACGGUCCAGACACCUACGGGUGGCAGCAGUCGAGAAUCUUUCACAAGGGGGGAAACCCUGAUGGAGCGACGUCGCGUGGAGGCUAAGGUCUUAGGAUUGUAAACUCCUGUCAUGCGAGAGCAAUGUUUCUGCAAUAAUAAGUCGGAAAACAAGAUAGUAUCGCAAGAGGAAGAGACGGCUAACUCUGUGCCAGCCGCCGCAGUAAAAC
rnacentral:rRNA from 1 species